rnacentral:rRNA from 1 species
UGGGGAAUAUUGCACAAUGGGCGAAAGCCUGAUGCAGCAACGCCGCGUGAAGGAUGAAGUAUUUCGGUAUGUAAACUUCUAUCAGCAGGGAAGAUAACGACGGUACCUGACUAAGAAGCCCCGGCUAACUACGUGCCAGCAGCCGCGGUAAUACGUAGGGGGCAAGCGUUAUCCGGAUUUACUGGGUGUAAAGGGAGCGUAGGCGGCAGCGCAAGUCAGAAGUGAAAGCCCGGGGCUUAACUCCGGGACUGCUUUUGAAACUGUGCGGCUAGAUUUCAGGAGAGGUAAGCGGAAUUCCUAGUGUAGCGGUGAAAUGCGUAGAUAUUAGGAGGAACACCAGUGGCGAAGGCGGCUUACUGGACUGACAAUGACGCUGAGGCUCGAAAGCGUGGGGAGCAAACAGG